UUGAACGCUGGCGGCAGGCCUAACACAUGCAAGUCGAACGGUAACAGGAAGAAGCUUGCUUCUUUGCUGACGAGUGGCGGACGGGUGAGUAAUGUCUGGGAAACUGCCUGAUGGAGGGGGAUAACUACUGGAAACGGUAGCUAAUACCGCAUAACGUCGCAAGACCAAAGAGGGGGACCUUCGGGCCUCUUGCCAUCGGAUGUGCCCAGAUGGGAUUAGCUUGUUGGUGGGGUAACGGCUCACCAAGGCGACGAUCCCUAGCUGGUCUGAGAGGAUGACCAGCCACACUGGAACUGAGACACGGUCCAGACUCCUACGGGAGGCAGCAGUGGGGAAUAUUGCACAAUGGGCGCAAGCCUGAUGCAGCCAUGCCGCGUGUAUGAAGAAGGCCUUCGGGUUGUAAAGUACUUUCAGCGGGGAGGAAGGGAGUAAAGUUAAUACCUUUACUCAUUGACGUUACCCGCAGAAGAAGCACCGGCUAACUCCGUGCCAGCAGCCGCGGUAAUACGGGGGGUGCAAGCGUUAAUCGGAAUUACUGGGCGUAAAGCGCACGCAGGCGGUUUGUUAAGUCAGAUGUGAAAUCCCCGGGCUCAACCUGGGAACUGCAUCUGAUACUGGCAAGCUUGAGUCUCGUAGAGGGGGGUAGAAUUCCAGGUGUAGCGGUGAAAUGCGUAGAGAUCUGGAGGAAUACCGGUGGCGAAGGCGGCCCCCUGGACGAAGACUGACGCUCAGGUGCGAAAGCGUGGGGAGCAAACAGGAUUAGAUACCCUGGUAGUCCACGCCGUAAACGAUGUCGACUUGGAGGUUGUGCCCUUGAGGCGUGGCUUCCGGAGCUAACGCGUUAAGUCGACCGCCUGGGGAGUACGGCCGCAAGGUUAAAACUCAAAUGAAUUGACGGGGGCCCGCACAAGCGGUGGAGCAUGUGGUUUAAUUCGAUGCAACGCGAAGAACCUUACCUGGUCUUGACAUCCACAGAACUUUCCAGAGAUGGAUUGGUGCCUUCGGGAACUGUGAGACAGGUGCUGCAUGGCUGUCGUCAGCUCGUGUUGUGAAAUGUUGGGUUAAGUCCCGCAACGAGCGCAACCCUUAUCCUUUGUUGCCAGCGGUCCGGCCGGGAACUCAAAGGAGACUGCCAGUGAUAAACUGGAGGAAGGUGGGGAUGACGUCAAGUCAUCAUGGCCCUUACGACCAGGGCUACACACGUGCUACAAUGGCGCAUACAAAGAGAAGCGACCUCGCGAGAGCAAGCGGACCUCAUAAAGUGCGUCGUAGUCCGGAUUGGAGUCUGCAACUCGACUCCAUGAAGUCGGAAUCGCUAGUAAUCGUGGAUCAGAAUGCCACGGUGAAUACGUUCCCGGGCCUUGUACACACCGCCCGUCACACCAUGGGAGUGGGUUGCAAAAGAAGUAGGUAGCUUAACCUUCGGGAGGGCGCUUACCACUUUGUGAUUCAUGACUGGGGUG
rnacentral:rRNA from 1 species